GUCAUAUUAUCCUGGUAGCACAUAUCCUCAGCCAGCCUAUAGCCACUGCUUUGACUUCCCAAGGGAAAUAACACAAUAGUUCAGGCAAAAUUAUUUUAUUUACCUGAAUGUGAUAUGUUUCUCAAACCAUGUCAGACUUACCUGUUUGGUUGAGCAAGUCCCCAUAGAGGUAUAAGGUGCCUUUGGCCCCUAAUAAAUGAGACUAGAAAUGAAAUUAAAAGCCACUUCAUUGGCUUUGUCCACUUUUUUCCCCCCUCAAUUAUAUCCAAUUUUCAAUUAUCUGAUCUAGACCUUAGCACCCCAAUGCUGAAAAAAUUUCAGGAUAAAAGAUGGAAGAAAGAAAGGUCUCACCUAAACACCUGAACUUACAGGCCUAAGGUAAUCUUAGGCAUCCUUUCUUUGGGAAGCACUGCAAUUCUCAUUGGCUUUCUAAUUUCUUCCUCCUAAAUCAAAAGAGACUCUGAAAUCUUCUACUACCCACUGGUAGAGAAGGAAAAGAAGUCACCAUUGGUCUGAAUUCCAAAAAGGUUCCAUUGAACCCAAGGGCUCAGAAUGUUAACCCUUCCCUUUAUGAUGUGGCAAACUCUUCCAUAGCUCAGUGGUCCGAUAACAAUCCUUAGACCUACAUUAACCUAUGUCAGUGCCCCAUCCUGAGUGUGAAGUGGUGCAAGAGAGGAGAGAAGAGAGGACCUUGGGCCUAAUGAUAGCCAAGCACCUACCCUGUACAAUUGGCACAUAAAAGAACUACGACGGAAAUCCAGAUGCAAAACCUGGGAACAAAAUAAGAUACCUAUUCAAUCGCAAAGUGCUCCCUCUGCCUUGCUUUUCUGGGACCCCAAAACAUUCCUGUUGUGAAAACUGCAAGAAAAAACCCUGGCUCUGCCAAACAGAAUUCAACCAAGGACCUCAAGAUUCCUUGGCGCUUUUCUUCUGUUCACCCUUUGCGGCCACUGCCUCAGUGAGACAGUUGCUGAACCUUUUCAUGGUGUUUUUAGCCCAGAAAAGGAACAAAUUUGUGCUGGACUCUGUUCACAUCUUCAAGGAAGGAAUGCCCCUUGCUCAUCUUUGUUCCUCCAAUGCAAUCCUGAGCCAGGAUCAAAGGAAAUGUCCAGGUGUUUGAACAAACAAAUGAAUAAAUGUGGUUCCUAUUUUAUUUACA
rnacentral:lncRNA from 13 species